ensembl:lncRNA
UACCCUACCCUACCCUACCCUACCCUACCCUACCCUGCACUACCUUUUGAGUAUGCCCGGUUUCAGGCCUUUGGUUACCAACCAGCUGCCUCCCUAGCCAUGAUUCCCGGAGACAACAUGUGCUGCUGUCUCCCCCAGGAGCACCCAUGGCACCGAUUCACCUGCUGCAGUUACGAGCAAGCCCUGCCUUAGCUGCUCCUCAUCCUAACACCACUAAAACUCAUGUUGACAACUUGUGCAGUGGGACGAGCCGCAGCCUUGAACAAAGCUGGGUGCCACCAGACGGCAUUGGGUAGGCUGGCAGGUGGUACCAGGUUUGGUUUCCCAAGGCAGAAGCUGUUACGCUUCCUGGACAGCAUCUGAUUUGUUUCUCCAGUUGCACGGAGGAAAAAAUAGCCGAGGUUAAUAUUUUACCAGCAGGCAAUAAAGCUGACCUGGUAUUCAGACAUCUACAUGAGCUGACAGGGCUGUCACCUGGCAGCAGGGCUAUGCUGGCUGUCCCUGUGUGCCCCCAACCCGCUGCAGGCUGCAGCCAGGGCAGUGUCCCACACACGAGCUGGUUAGAGGCAUGCACUGGAAUAAUGUCAGUGGCUCCAGUCCUGGAAUAACUUGCUGAGAGGCUGUAACGUGAUCAUGCCUGAUCUCUUCGUGGCCUGAGCUGUUCAUUACCAUCACACCAAGCAUGACUGUAAAUGACCUUCUGUACCCUUGAUUGUAACUACUGAGUACAGUAAACACCGCCUGGACAUCGCCUCUGCAAAAAUCUCCCCUUUCUUCCCCUGGGGCUCUUGUCAGCUCCAGGAUGACAGGAAGCAUCUGCAUCAGCUCCCAGCAACACUUCAGUGGUGCUUGCAGACAAAUUCCUAUUUCCCAAAGAUGGGAAGAAGAUUCCCAGAAGAAGGAGGUCAACUGCCUCAGACAGAAGGGCCAUGGAAGAGCCCCUUGGACACUCCCCUUGGCGGACAAUAUGCUGAUGCACGUUAGUGACUUGAUAGCGAGCUCUUGCUUUGUGGGGGCUGCUGAAGGAUGUCCUUGGUGCUUCUGUGCAGUUACGGGCUCACUGAGUCUCUCCACCAGCAUGCCACUGUGGGUUUGGCUGCAAGGCUUUCAAAGCCUGAGUGCAGCGAGCAGUGCCCAGGUGGCGUUUCUGAUGGCAUCCAUGAUGUGUCUUCUGGUAGAGGAAUGAAUAGAGCUGCUAACCACUGACCCUUGCAAACCUGCCAGAGGGAAAAAAAACAAUAAAGGAAAGUAGGCAGCAGAGCAGGGCCACACUAUUUCUAGCAACUGAGAGCUCUGAUCAGGAGAUGGACAGGUGAGGAUUUCAUUGCACUGGGGGGCAGGCUGCAGUGUCUUCCAGGCCCGAGCGGUCUGCCUGCUGUGGGGCUGCACGCCAGCAUACCCAAUAGUGUGCUAACUGUUGCUGUUUAAUCUCCAGCAUCUUGUUUGACGCCUCGGUGUAAUAAUGAUGGAAAUAAUAAAUGGCGUGCUACAAAGCCGUGUGCGUGGACUCGCUUUGUGCUGACGGCGGUGCCUUGCUCCCGGCGCGGCUCGGUGCCAGCCUGCUUCCAGCUGAGUCAGUUGGAGCAGGCAAAGGCCCAGCUCAACAGCUGGC